rnacentral:misc_RNA from 1 species
AAAUUUCCUUUAUGGUUGAAUAUGAAGAGUUUGAGGAAUGUGUCCCAGGGACUGAAAAUUAUCAAGCAAUGGAGAUUUCGAUGGAAGUUGAGGGAAAACAAUCCAUGGAGACAAUAUUAGAAAUCUAAGAACAUCAAGUCUUAGAGAUGAUGGAGAUUGAAGAAUUUUUUAACUCUUUACCUUCUAUUAUUUCAAUUGAUAUUGUUUGUCCAGAUGUUUUUAUGGAGACAAAAAUGAAGGUGAAAAUGAUUAGUUCAAUUUUGCUCAAUUCUUCAUGGACAGGUCAAAGAAAGCAAAGUGGUGUGCUUUUCUAAUGAAGAUUUUCAUUCUCUUCCACUUCAAAAUUUGAGGGAGAAUUUAUUCCAAGUAGGGGAGAAUGGUGUGGAAGUUGUUAUGGUCUUGUUUGGGUUUGUUGCAAACUAUUACAACUUGAAGACAAGUUUUUUCAAAGUGGAGGGGUAUGACACAGGGCCAAACAGCAAAGAACACACCCCUGGUGUGUUUCAGCAAUCUAGAACACACCCAGAGUGUGUUCCACGGGACACAACGGAGUUAGAAACUCAUGUUUCCCUCUGUGCCAGCUUGAGGAGAUGUAUUUUCUGUCCCAGCAAGAGCAGACGUGUUUUUUUUUUUAUUAUUUCUUUUAUUUUUUAUUUUUUUA